AUUGAACGCUGGCGGAAGGCCUAACCCAUGCAAGUCGAACGAGUGGCGGACGGGUGAGUAAUGUCUGGGAAACUGCCUGAUGGAGGGGGAUAACUACUGGAAAAGUUAGCUACUACCGCAUACCAUCAGAUGUGCCCAGCUGGGAUUAGCUGGUUGGGUGGGUAACGGCUCACCACGGCGACGAUCCCUAGCUGGUCUGAGAGGAUGACCAGCCACACUGGAACUGAGACACGUUCCAGACUCCUACGGGAGGCAGCAGUGGGGAAUAUUGCACAAUGGGCGCAAGCCUGAUGCAGCCAUGCCGCGUGUAUGAAGAAGGCCUGCGGGUUGUAAAGUACUUUCAGCGGGGAGGCGUUACCCGCAGAAGAAGCACCGGCUAACUCCGGGCCAGCAGCCGCGGUAAUAC
rnacentral:rRNA from 1 species